AAACAACGUACCAUAUUUACACACGUGUAUGUUGAAUUAUGCAGACUAUCGUUUUUUUUAUCGAUGUUGGUUUAGACAUGUUUACAAACUUGCUAAGUUGCUAAGCUAAAUACAAAUACAAAUGCCAGCUAAACUGUUACCAGUAAAAUUUGUUCUCAUGAUCAAACUCAAGAAACUCUAAGUACAGAUGAUUUUUUUAAAGUUAUAUGUAUUUUACUGUUGUAUUUACUUGAAGCUUUCUUAGAUUUUGAAACGAAGUAAACACAUAAUGUGUGUUGCUAAUGUUGGGCCAUGUAAUAUGUAAUACAUUUACGUUUUAAUGAAUAGUCUAACGAUUUAUAGUCGUUGUACUCUAUUGUUAUAAUAUGUCUUUUUGACUGAAUACAUGUUUGUUUUAUUUGUCUAUAUCCUAGAUUCGCAGCUGGACACAUCCUUCUACACUGUAUGCAAACAUGCAACAUCAUAACACACAGUACAAGGAGUCAGACUGGCAUAUGAGGAGCAAAGGAACCCAGGCAGUAGCAUCGUUUCACAAUGUUUCCAUCACCAUCAUCAGUGGAUGCCUUUGCUGUCCGUAGCCUGAGAUUUCAGAUUUGCAGCAAAAAAAUUUGAUUUUCUCAUUUAUUGGAAUGCUGUGCAGGUAUUUGUACCUUGCAGCCAUCCAUUACAAUGUCACCAAGCCGUAACAAAAGCAGGAGAGGGAAAGUACAAGGCUAUGUUCCCAAAACACACAAGUGACAUACCGUAAGCAGUAAUGUUUUAUUUCAAAUACAUUCAUAAUUAAAAACUUAAUGUAUGAAGCAGGGAAAUAAAUGAUCAAAACAAAAGAUUUAUUGACUGCAAUAUUUCUACAGUU